rnacentral:miRNA from 1 species
CAGCAGACACAUUCUAGCCAAUCAGCCUCAGGCCCUCCCUCCCAGACCCUCCCACCUCCUGGACAGCUCACUAAGAAUGCAGCUUUACAAUGAAUGUAACAUGGAUGCUGUCCAGGAGAUGGGAGGGUCUGGGAGGGAGGGUCUGCUGCUGAUUGGCUGGAAUGUGUCUACUG